rnacentral:rRNA from 1 species
UACGUAGGUGGCAAGCGUUGUCCGGAUUUACUGGGCGUAAAGGGAGCGUAGGUGGAUAUUUAAGUGGGAUGUGAAAUACUCGGGCUUAACCUGGGUGCUGCAUUCCAAACUGAAUAUCUAGAGUGCAGGAGAGGAAAGUAGAAUUCCUAGUGUAGCGGUGAAAUGCGUAGAUAUUAGGAAGAAUACCAGUGGCGAAGGCGACUUUCUGGACUGUAACUGACACUGAGGCUCGAAAGAGUGGGGAGCAAACAGG